GGCUUCUUAGCUCAGUCGGUAGAGCAGUAGAUUGAAAAUCUACGUGUCCCCAGUUCGAUUCUGGGAGAAGCCACCA
rnacentral:tRNA from 1 species